UAAUCUGUCUGGAGUAAAUCCUCAUCUAGUCAUGACAUCCCACACUUGAUUGCUUAGAAUUACUCGUGAGAACUAUUGUGUGAACAAUAACUUUUUAAGAUU
rfam:Populus trichocarpa isolate Nisqually-1 chromosome 7, whole genome shotgun sequence.